CAGCACGGGAGUAGCAAUACGACUGGGUGGCGACCGGCGCACGGGUGAGUAACGCGUAUGCAACCUACCUAUCAGAGGGGAAUAACCCGGCGAAAGUCGGACUAAUUCCGCAUAAAACAGGGACACCGCAUGGUGAUAUUUGUUAAAGAAAUUCGCUGAUAGAUGGGCAUGCGUUCCAUUAGGUAGUUGGUGAGGUAACGGCUCACCAAGCCGACGAUGGAUAGGGGAACUGAGAGGUUGGUCCCCCACACUGGUACUGAGACACGGACCAGACUCCUACGGGAGGCAGCAGUGAGGAAUAUUGGUCAAUGGGCGAGAGCCUGAACCAGCCAAGUCGCGUGAAGGAAGAAGGAUCUAUGGUUCGUAAACUUCUUUUGCAGGGGAAUAAAGUGCGGGACGUGUCCUGUUUUGUAUGUACCCUGAGAAUAAGGAUCGGCUAACUCCGUGCCAGCAGCCGCGGUAAUACGGAGGAUCCGAGCGUUAUCCGGAUUUAUUGGGUUUAAAGGGUGCGUAGGUGGUUUUAUAAGUCAGCGGUGAAAGUUUGCAGCUUAACUGUAAAAAUGCCGUUGAAACUGUAAGACUUGAGUGUAAAUGAGGUAGGCGGAAUGCGUGGUGUAGCGGUGAAAUGCAUAGAUAUCACGAAGAACUCCGAUUG
rnacentral:rRNA from 1 species